AAAUUUUUUAUAAGCUCCGUAUGUAUAACCUCAAUAAUAUGGUUUGAGGGUCUCUACCAGGAACCGUAACAUCCUGACUACAUAAUUCAAUUGUAGUCGG
rnacentral:ncRNA from 2 species